AGAUUGGAGCUUGGAUUGAAGUGUGGAGGUAGGAAGAGAAGGGAUUGAGCAAGGGUUUGAAGAAUUGACUAAGGUUAUUUGAACUUGGAGAAGUGGUUGCUAGAGUCGUGGUGAGGUUUUUGCUCAAACGAGGUGAUAUAGGUACUAGCGCUAGUGCUCCGACUACGGAUCAGUAGGGAGGAGCGUGACGCGGAUGGCCUGGACUUGGGGUGGUUUGUGGUUUUAUUUUGUGUGGUGUUUGAUUAGUCUUUGGCUUAAGUGUAUAUUGGGAUAUAUACGUAAUGUGUGGGAUGAAUGAUGAUUUUGGAUGGUUAGGCUUGAUGCCUUGAUAUGUAUGUGUGUAUGAUGAUUUAUGUUUGGGAUGAUAUGGCCGGAGGCCCUGGAUAUUUAGUUUGG